CCUGACUCUGGGAUAAGCGUUGGAGACGUCUAAUACUGGAUAUGACUGCCGGCCGCAUGGUCUGGUGGUGGAAAGAUUUUUUGGUUGGGGAUGGACUCGCGGCCUAUCAGCUUGUUGGUGAGGUAAUGGCUCACCAAGGCGACGACGGGUAGCCGGCCUGAGAGGGUGACCGGCCACACUGGGACUGAGACACGGCCCAGACUCCUACGGGAGGCAGCAGUGGGGAAUAUUGCACAAUGGGCGAAAGCCUGAUGCAGCAACGCCGCGUGAGGGAUGACGGCCUUCGGGUUGUAAACCUCUUUUAGUAGGGAAGAAGCGAAAGUGACGGUACCUGCAGAAAAAGCACCGGCUAACUACGUGCCAGCAGCCGCGGUAAUACGUAGGGUGCAAGCGUUGUCCGGAAUUAUUGGGCGUAAAGAGCUCGUAGGCGGUUUGUCGCGUCUGCUGUGAAAUCCCGAGGCUCAACCUCGGGCUUGCAGUGGGUACGGGCAGACUAGAGUGCGGUAGGGGAGAUUGGAAUUCCUGGUGUAGCGGUGGAAUGCGCAGAUAUCAGGAGGAACACCGAUGGCGAAGGCAGAUCUCUGGGCCGUAACUGACGCUGAGGAGCGAAAGCGUGGGGAGCGAACAGGAUUAGAUACCCUGGUAGUCCACGCCGUAAACGUUGGGCGCUAGAUGUAGGGACCUUUCCACGGUUUCUGUGUCGUAGCUAACGCAUUAAGCGCCCCGCCUGGGGAGUACGGCCGCAAGGCUAAAACUCAAAGGAAUUGACGGGGGCCCGCACAAGCGGCGGAGCAUGCGGAUUAAUUCGAUGCAACGCGAAGAACCUUACCAAGGCUUGACAUACACCGGAAACGGCCAGAGAUGGUCGCCCCCUUGUGGUCGGUGUACAGGUGGUGCAUGGUUGUCGUCAGCUCGUGUCGUGAGAUGUUGGGUUAAGUCCCGCAACGAGCGCAACCCUCGUUCUAUGUUGCCAGCGCGUUAUGGCGGGGACUCAUAGGAGACUGCCGGGGUCAACUCGGAGGAAGGUGGGGACGACGUCAAAUCAUCAUGCCCCUUAUGUCUUGGGCUUCACGCAUGCUACAAUGGCCGGUACAAAGGGCUGCGAUACCGUAAGGUGGAGCGAAUCCCAAAAAGCCGGUCUCAGUUCGGAUUGAGGUCUGCAACUCGACCUCAUGAAGUCGGAGUCGCUAGUAAUCGCAGAUCAGCAACGUUGCGGUGAAUACGUUCCCGGGCCUUGUACACACCGCCCGUCAA
rnacentral:rRNA from 1 species